GGGCCUUUGUGUUUCAUACUUCUCCUCUUCCCCUCCUUCCAAAACGACUAACAACCUCAGUAAUGGAGCAGACAUCUGGUCGACCAUAGAGACAACAAAUAGCAAUGUCGGACGACCGAACAAAUUAUUGGGGGCUUUGAGCGACGGUUCCGGGCAGAUAUUGGAAUCAACAAAUGUCAAACUUUACAGCUUUCUUGAUCUGACGACUGCGACGAUGAAUUUUAAACCGGACUUUAUGUUAGGUCAAGGAGAUUUUGGUGAAGUUUACAGAGAGGAGAAAAGAUCGAAACCAACAAAAGACGACGACUCUGUCGGUCUAGUCGACGUCUCAUCCGUCUCUUUCGGUGCUCAGGGCGACUCCUCCGUCUUCUCCUCGAAUUGGUGUGUAUUUUCUCUUGAUUCUAUCUUCAUCUCCGAAGCUACUCUUUGAAGAAUUGGGGAUCAAAGCUUCGUGAUGGACAACGAAUCGUUUGAUAGCAGCGGAAAAGGAAAGUCUUAUAACUGAACUGCGUAAAGAGUUGAUAGUGUCAAACGAGGAACAUAGAGAGCUUCUCCAUCUGAUUCGUGUGUCUUUCAGCUCUCGCUCACGAUCUCUUCAUCUUCGAGAUCUCUUCCCAAGUUCCUGAAGGAUUAAGGAGGUAUGUUGUGUCAUCAAGAAAAGCGCAAGCAAACUGGUAAAGAUUUAAACUUUGUCUCUUUAUUUUAGCUAUGUACUUUAGCUUUGUCUCUGUAUUUUUAGCUCUGUAUUGAAAUUGAUAAAUGCUUGUUAGGUUGUGGUUAGUGUAAACGCGUGUGAUAAAUGCUUGUGAAUUGUGAUGAAUUGUUGUUUUAUUGUUACAUUAGAAUUGUGAUGAAUUGUUGUGAUGAA